UACCUUCAAUUUAUCAACUCUUACAUGAAUAUAUAAUCUCAAUUAGAGUGAUACCAAUUUUUCUCCGAUUGUAAAAAGAAUACCACAUUUGAGAAUUGUGACUGUCCAUUUUCUAAUUGCAAGGGCCCCCUUCCCUCGAGAUUCCUGGUGUACAAUUACACGUUCUAACACGGCAUGGGCAUCAUCAACACAACCACGAUGACUAUCAUAGUGGUUACUGGUUAUAUGCGGUGAAAUAUACACAC
rnacentral:lncRNA from 1 species